rnacentral:rRNA from 1 species
AGUGAACGCUGGCGGUAGGCCUAACACAUGCAAGUCGAACGGCAGCACAGUAAGAGCUUGCUCUUACGGGUGGCGAGUGGCGGACGGGUGAGGAAUACAUCGGAAUCUACUUUUUCGUGGGGGAGAACGUAGGGAAACUUACGCUAAUACCGCAUACGACCUACGGGUGAAAGCAUGGGAUCUUCGGACCUUGCGCGAUUGAAUGAGCCGAUGUCGGAUUAGCUAGUUGGCGGGGUAAAGGCCCACCAAGGCGACGAUCCGUAGCUGGUCUGAGAGGAUGAUCAGCCACACUGGAACUGAGACACGGUCCAGACUCCUACGGGAGGCAGCAGUGGGGAAUAUUGGACAAUGGGCGCAAGCCUGAUCCAGCCAUACCGCGUGGGUGAAGAAGGCCUUCGGGUUGUAAAGCCCUUUUGUUGGGAAAGAAAAGCAGCAGGUUAAUACCCCGCUGUUCUGACGGUACCCAAAGAAUAAGCACCGGCUAACUUCGUG